UCCAGUGCCAAAUCUCCCUGUAGCUCUUGCUUGGUUUCCCACUGAAGUUAAGCAGGGUUGAGCAUGGCCACUACCUGGAUGGGAGACCUCCUGGGGAAAACAAAGGUUGCUGCUGGAA
rnacentral:rRNA from 1 species